AGCGAGGGACUAUCUGGGGGAGGGACAGUGCAGCGGCCGCCCAGCGCAGUGCUGAGCGCAGGAGAGAACCACACCAGACCAGCCCAGGCAGCAGCAAGAAGAAGCUGGCAGCGGCGGCAGGUUAGGGGUUAGGGGGCGCAAAUUACUUGCCUUGCCCCGGGUUAGGGGGCGCAAAUUACUUGCCUUGCCCCGGGUGCUGACAACCCACGCUACGCCGCUGGUUGUCUUUGAUUGGCUGUAGUGAAAUUUGGUUUUGUGUGUGUGUUUUUGGAUCAGGUUAGCCAGAUUGAUCCGUAUGAUGUUGGUGGAUUCUUCUUGUUGUCAUGUUGGGCUGUGUAUGUUACAAAAGAAGAACCAUACCAAGGUGAAGGCAUCUUUUAUUUGUCCCCGUGUCAAAAUGAAACAUACUUCUAAGGAAAUGCACAUAGGGUUGGGAAGCAGGUGUGCACAGAAUUGCAGCCUUUAAGCUGAAGGCAACCAUCAGCAGCUGAAUCUGUGUGAAGAAAGGGGAUUGUCUGAGUUAGUUAGGCGCUCAGUUGCCAGUGCCUCUUACAAAGAUCUCCGCAGUUCUUGUAUUGGCUGGGAGCGCAAUUCAUAGGGAAUGGAGAAAGCAGAGUGGAAUAAAGAAACGGGUGGGUUUAUUAAGGAAAUGUGCAAGGCAGGCAGACACUGAUUAUUCAGGAUACUGACUGGAAAACAACCCUGAGGCUCUCUGGAGUGCCUUUCUUCAACCCCCAACCAACCAACACCCCCCCCCCCCAGUAUGUUAUAGUUCAAAGACUUAACACUAAUGGACAGAAAUGCCACAAAUGUGUUUAUAUUUACUGUGAACGCUUUGGUAAGCAGGCAAGGCUCCCGCUUUCUCCUCAAAAGCAAGACAGAACUAGGCCGAACUGUGCAUGUGGCCUAGUGGUUGCCUAUCCUUUCACACGGAAAGAAAGAACUGAGGUUUUUGUGGGGUUUCUAGUGCUAAAAAUGAGGGGGGAAGUAUUCCACAAGCAAGAAAAAUAAACAGAACAACUGCACGAAGCAUUUGAAACCCAGCCUUCUCUUCUGAAUAGCUAUGGCUAACUCUCCUUAUUUAACAUUUCCGCUGCACCCAAGUUCAAUCCAGUGCCUUUGCAUUUCUAUAAAAGAAAAAGAAAAACCUUUUAAGUGAUGACGAAGCUCUUCUUGCUCAUCAGGGUGCUGUGCCGUGCCCUUCCCCUCAGAUCCUUUUCCUGAGAGGCCUGCUUCUUUCCUCCCAUGCAUAGUUAGCUAUGUGGGCACCUAAUGGCAUAAAUGACAACAGGUUCUCUACACGGGGAGGGAGGCAAUGCUUAAAGCGGUAUAUUUUACUACCUGUGGGAUUGGGGAAAGAUUUCACUUGUCGGGUAAUUGGCAAUAGACACAAGCACCACUCAGAGAGCACCCAAGUGGGUGGGUGGAAUUGUUCCAGUCAGUCGGUGCAAUCUAUUAUUUAGAGAGAAGUAUCAGAAUAUGCUAAACUAGCCUUCAUAAUUACUUCUUCUGUAGGUUCUCACGGGCCUCUUACCACAGAAGAGAAGGCUUCCUAAAAUGUGACAGUAUCUAUUUAUAUGCUCCCCAAAACUAGAUUAACACAGGCUACACACAAACCUAUUAAAUUCCACCCCCUUCUUUCGCUCUCCAUGAUCCCCUCCCCACAGAGGCUUAUUGCUUUCCUUUGUGCUGUCCUCUCUAUAUUUACCAGCUUCUAGCCCCUGCUGAGCAAGUUGUUAGUCAUUAUUAUCUUCCCCUCAGAAUUCAUAUCUGAUACGUUUGGAACAGUUCUUCCUGAGACGUAUACUGUAAAUUGUUUUUGUAGAAAAUUAUUUCCUGAGGACGAGAGGACUGCCAUAGCACAGGAAUACAUUCUUAUCCAUGGGUUUCCCAUACACAGAAGUCAUUUGUCUAUCUACAGUCUCUCUAUUAAAACAUCUAGAAAAUGAAUUCCCUUGGCGUGAGAUGUAAUUUCAAACGUCAUAUUAGCAUGUCUAGAUUUGACCCAGGGUAAAAAUAAAAAAUAAAAAUGCCAGUUCUUCCAUAUUCCUAUGCCGUUUUAUAAAAAAUCCUGUCGAUAGGAUAAUUUAUAGAAAUAGAUUUGCAAAUUUGUCCCUGAAGUCUACCACAUAAAUGUGGUUUUCUGGGGGGCGGGGGAAGCAUGAAUUCCUUUACCAGCCAUAUUAAGUUGUUCUGAAAAAUGAAAACAUUUGUGGUCAGUUACUUCAGCUGGACUAACAGGGAUGGUUGGUUGGUUUUGCUAACACUCUUCUAUGAUUUGGGUAAGUGCAUCCUGUUGUGGGGAGCUCCUGCAUAUAAGCAAUAAAAAUAACUAGCAGAUCAUUUUCAUGCAUUUUAUACAUACUCUGCAGUUUUGGAUGAGAUCACCAAAAUCAUGGAAUGCAAUUUAUUUGAGGUGGAAAGGACUUAAAGAAGAGCCCAGAAUUUUAGAACAAUGGAUGUCCUUAGCAAGAGGAAAGCAUUCUUAUUAAUCUAAGCAAGUAACCCAUAUGAUAGUGGUAUUUGGGGCAAGUUCUUAUUCAAAACUGAUAGUAUUUUAUGCCUCAUUUUUCUUCAUUUGAGAGCUACUCAAAUUUCUGAUUACUACAGGGCUAUACUUUAAUGGCUAAAUGAAUAAUAAGAAAAAGACACAAGACUGGAUACUUCUGUGAAAAUCACAGGGCAUUUUUUUUUGUUGAAUAUUGUAUUUAUUGAGUACUGUAUUGUUUAUAUGUUUUGAAGGCUUGGAAAUAAAUUGUUAUUAUCAUUUCUGUAUUUUAUUGGGUGUUACACAAAGGGUACAGGCUGUGUGAUUGCACAAUUGUCAUUCCACCUCUGCCACAUAAUUCUUUUCUGUUCAUAAUUACAACUCUGCCUUUGUCAGCCCCCAUAAUAAUUAUACUGGUAUAAUUAGCUAGAUUCUGUAAGAAAUCUCAUUCAGAAUUGCUUAUAUUGUUUCAUACCUAAGAAGGAUUUUGUUCCCAUUUCUGAAGAUCUUUCAAAAUUAAUUCCCAGAAAUAAUGGAUGGCUAGAGUUACAGGGCCUAGUGGAAUAAAAGCUGGCUUUGAUAAAAAAAGCAUCUUUGUAGGAUCAAAGUGUUUCUAAGAGGGUAUUUCAAUAUAAGGAUUCUUCUAAACUGGAAAAAAAACACUAAGCAUUGAUAUUGGUUUGUGUUUCAGAGGGGGACAAACAACAAUUCUUAUUUAAAACACCCCCCUCCAUGUGUAUAUGUUGUCUGCUGAAUAGGUUGUAGCUUAAAAUCUCAUUGAUUUCCAUUGACUUUACAUGCUUUUUGCACACUAGCAGGUAGGGAGAGGCUGCUGAACCAUAUAUUUAAAAGAUAAAAGGGGAACUAUUAUGACAAUCUUUGACUGUGUACAUAUUGACAGCUUAACGUGCGGCAAGGUUGCUGUUGUUGUUUUUUCUUCUGCAUUUCAAAUCCUUCAGGCUCCUCUUACAUUCCAAGUGUUUCCAAGUCACUUCGUUUGGCUUAUGUUUUCAAAUCAGAUUGAAUCUAGGUUUUUUAUGCGUGUGUGUGUGUGUGUGCCUCAAAACGCAGUAUUUUUCAAGAAACUACAGGCUAACGACAUGUUCACAAACCAGCAGUGGAAACACACCAGAUGCAGAGUAAACAUGAGUGUGUACACAGCUCAAGUUGCUUUUAUCUAUGACGUAUCCCAGUCGGUCCAAUCCAAAUGUUGAGUGCCUGAGACAGCAAAUGAAAUAUUUUUUAACUGGCAGAUUUCUCUAUGUCAAGUGUAUACUGUUUUUAAUACAUAUACAUAUUCUCUCUCAUUGGGGUUUUAAUUUUUUCUGAUAUUUGCUUCCCUUCUAAACUCCUUUAAUUCCUUUAAUUUCCAGGUCUGAUAAUUUAUGAUCCUGUUGAAGUCCAGCAUCCCUUGUAUUUUCCUGCCAAUUGACAGUAUUUUUCUCUCAACUGUCACGUCCAAGUCUACGAGAGGUAUCAAUAAUAAAUAAUGAUUGAAUCCAAGGAACACUUGUUGAGUGCUGCAUGCCAUCUGCUUAUAAAUUCCUCACUGGUUCUAAAUUUCCCCCAGCUUUUUGUUAAUUUGUAUUCCUUGAGAGGAAUAUAUUCAGAUCUACUAUGCUCCAGUAGAGUACCAGUACAUAAAUCUAAUCUGGCUUUCUUUUUAUGUAAUUUUACAGACUCAUUCCAGUCCUCUGUUGGGCUUGUAAGAAAAAUGGAUGUCUUUCUGCCGUAAUUCCACAACUAGGCAGUUGAACAGAAACGAGAUGUUUAUUAGAACCAAACCCAGUUCUUGGGGGCCUAUAUAUAGGGAGGUGGUGUUGUUUUUGGUUAUUCUGGACUGAAGAUGGGCAUAAUCAACAUGGCCGUCUUUAGCAGUGCAGCGCUGGGGUGCAAAUAUCCGCCCAGCGCCCCCAAAUUACCAUGGAUAGUGUUGGGGUGGCCAUAGCUGCGCACUGCCAGUCAUCCGGGGGGGGGGCUCUCCCCCAUGCCGCUGCGGGAGAGUGAUCCUCACAGAGGCUUGGGAGUGAAGUUGCGCCCCUCCCAAGCCUCCAUGGGAGGAGAGCGCAGCUUCCCUCCCAAGCCUCCUCGGGAGGAGAGCGAUCCCCGCAGAAGCUUGGGAGGGAAGCUGCAUGCCCGCCAGCCUUAUGGUUGGUGGGGCGUAGCUGGCUGGCAUGCAGUGAAAGGGGAGGCCUCCAGCAAAGCUGCACAGCUCCCCCACUCGCUGGGGCACCCCUGAGGGGCCAGCACGUUGGUGCAAUGCACCACUAAGUCCUAUGGGAAAGACGGCUCUGAUAAUGAAGUCAUAUGAGUGCACCACCAUGUAAGUAAACAAGUGUGUAAUCAAGCAAUGUAUGUGCAUGAGUGAUUUGGACCUAAGAGUGCUUGUGGUGGUACGCAUUAACUACAGAUCUGUGACUGUGGUGAUAAUACAGUAUAGUACUUGCUGCACCAUCACGCUAUUAAUAUCUGGACUGACAAAACAAGCAACCUCCUCCCACCUGCAAACUGACAAGAAUCCCCAGAAAUGGUUGUGUGAAUCAGCUUUCCAUGUGGGGGUAUGAACUAGACAGAAAUGAUGGCUCUACACAUCAGUUUCCUUUUAAUUCUGUUGCUAAUGUCGCUGCAGAAGGUGCUGGCUUCAGGAAAGCCAAGAUCUCAGCAAUAAGUAUUUUUAGUUAAAAUUGCUCCCAGAGAGACAAUGAUGCAUUUUGCCCUAAGAGCAAAGGUGUGCAAACAGGGCUGUGCAACUAAGGAAAGAGAGACAGGUUAGCAGCCAGUCAGAUAAUAGGAAAAGAACAGCGAGGCAAUGCAGCAGCAGAAAUGAUGUGCCUGCUGCCAAGGCAGUGGCGGCCAUUAAUGUUUUCAAUGUUUUCAAUGCGAGUCAAUAGAAGAUAGCAGUUAAGCAUAUCAUAGACCUGUUUAAACAAGAAGCAGAACCAAGAUGUAAAGCUUGGGUGUGGAUGGGUGGGUAUAAAUGAUAGAGAUUGUAAUUUAGAGCGAGGUAUGUGUGUUCUCUCUUAAGGACCAGCAGAUGGGCAGCUAUAUUGUCUUAUAAAAUAACUGUUUGCAUGUAGAAAAAUAGCACAUCAGGGAUAAGAUUUUUGCCUAACCUUCUCCCUGACAUGUUGUUUUCCUGUGUUCACUGGAUGGGGUAUUUGAGCAUUCAAACACACAACCCAUCCACCUACGGCCUGAUUCUGCUGUGUGUAUGGACUGGUCCAGACAGUAACUAUAAGAAACCCUCUUGUGCUUUGGAACUAGGUAAUCAAUGACAGAAAAUCCCACUUCACAGCUGCCUGUAAUGUCAUGUAAUAUAUCAAGUAUUACUAUGAUUUCAAGGCUAGUUGCAUUCUGUCAGUCUGGAAACUUGUCAAGGGAAUCAACUGAGCUGCUCUUCCUUCCCUGUAGUCUACCUUUCAGUGGUUCCGUAAUGUGCUAUAAUUCUUGUAUGUGUACAAGGAUCAAGGGCCUCCAUAUCAGAAACAAGACCUUUAGUAAAUGAGAACCCAAGAUUGCUGAGUAUGGCACCAGCCUGCACUGGCGGAGGAAGGGGGUGCGGGGGAUGCGGUCCGCCCUGGAUGUCAUCCCUGAGGGGAGUUGACAUCGCCGCCCAGCCCCCAUAGGAGACUCACCGCGGGCAGCACCGCCCCCGUGGGACACACGCAGAGCCUCCCCCGUGGGGGCUUGGCCCGCCCCUGUGUGCACAGCAUGUGCGCCGCUCCAGGUGCCAGAUCAGCUAGCUCCGCCUCUGCCGGCUUGUGCAGCAGAAAUGCCCUUUAGAAGCUGUGUGGGAGCCACUUCUCCAUGAGCAGCUCCCAUAAGACUGAAUUUUUAAAUGACUCAGCCAUAUGAAACCAGGGUCUUUCCUAUAAACUAGCACCUUCAGUUUCGUGGGAAUGGCCUAUAUGAUUCCCACUACCAUGUCGCUAGGUCUCCCACCCCAAAUAUUUUGAUUGGCAUUUUCAUAAACUGCUGGGUCUCUUAAAGGCUGUUAUUCAAGCAUUCUCCCAGCUGCUCAUUGACAAGAGGUUACUGUAUGCCUUAGAGAACCUCCAAAGAACAGUACAACAGUAGCCCCUAAGGCAAUCUCAAGUAGGACUCAAAUUAUGGGGGGGUGGGGAAUAGGGGAGCUCUUAAAACCAUUCACACCCUGUACCCCUCGAUUCCUUCCAGUUUUAGCCAGAUCAUGCCUCCCCCCUCCCCGUUAGCCUUUUAAAAUGGUUGUGAAUGAGGCUUCACAACAGAGAAUGGGCCCCAGCCCCCUCUGCCCCCCUCUGUAAUUUGAGCACUGGCCAAAUUGAGAAGGGUAGAUGUGGGUAACUGAGGCUGCGGCAUUCUGCUCAUGAGGAUUCUGUCUCAACUUGGAAGUGAGAAGUGAAUGGCCCAGAAGAAGCAGAGAGAGGGAAGCUGGACAAGAGAGGCAAAAUAAAACUGUAAGGUGCUGCUUGGAAAGAAAGUGUAAGGCAGGUGUGGGGAACCUGUGGCUCUCCAGAUGUGACUGAACUACAACUCCCAUCAGCCCCAGCAAGCAUUGCCAAUGGCCUAGGGUGAUGAGAGUUGUAGUUCAGCAACACUGGAGGGCCUAAGAUUCCCCACUCCUGAGGUAAGACUUUUUACUAAUUAGAAAUAGGAGCAACAAGUAGCACUGAAGGAGAUUCUAGUUAAAGGCCUUAUUAUUUUGCCUUGAUUGAUAUUUCAUUUUCCCUAAACUCCCUCGUUCCGGGAGGUGUCAAGAAUUAUUCCCCUUUUGUUCCUGUCAGAGGGGAAUGAAACACACUCCCAAGGACAGGGCUUUAAUUGGGUUUUUCUGUGCGUUUCUUCAGGUUUCAUUGUGUUGCUGUUCAGGCAAAGCAACAAUUGAACAAACACCUGGGAAGCCAAACCUGACUGGAAUGGAGAGGAGGGAAGGGAAGGUUUCAAGCGUUCCUGUCAUGAAAUCAUCACGCUGCCUCCCCCAUUUCCCAGACAGCCCAGGUGGAAAAAAGCCCUGGAGCCGCUCUGCUCCUUGGAUGCUCUGCUCAGCCAGGUUUGAGUGGAGUAUUUCUAAGUAGCAGGAGUGCUCAAGGGCAUGAUGUGCAGGGUUCCACUCAGUGCUCUCUCUCUCUCUCUCUCCCUCUUGCUCUCUCUCUCUUCCCACCCCCAACAGCUCAUUAUUUCUCCUCCUCCCAGGCAGCAAAUGUUAUUAAAAUAACAGAAGGAGCCCAACUAGAAUCAUAAAGUGAAUACUGGACUAGGAGCCACAAUGGAAAAGGGAAUUAAAGAGGCAGAUAAAGGGUGACAAAACAGCGACAAAAGCUACUGGAGGUCAGGUGAACAGUAGCACCCUUUCACCCCAUCCACUACUGGCCACGAGUCAAAAAAGCCAAUGUGGUAGUGUUUCGAAUGAUGGACUAGUACCUGUGAGACCACAGUUCAAAUCCCUACUCAGUUGCAAAACUGACUGGGUGAUCCCGAACCAGUCACAAUCUCCCAGCCUAACCUACCUCACAGGGUUGUUGUGAGGAGAAAAAGCCAAGGGGAAGAGAACUGUGUAUGCCACCUUGAGUUCCUUGGACAAAAUAUGGUUUAGAAAUGUAUUAAGAAAUAAACAAUCCCCUCCAAGUAAA
rnacentral:lncRNA from 1 species